rnacentral:rRNA from 1 species
AGAAUCAACGCUGGCGGCGUGCCUCAGACAUGCAAGUCGAACGCGAAAGUUUCCUUCGGGGAGCGAGUAGAGUGGCGCACGGAUGAGUAACACGUAGGUAAUCUACCUUUGGAUGGGGAAUAACAACCGGAAACGGUUGCUAAUACCGCAUGAUGCAGCGGCACCUAAUGGUGACAGUUGUUAAAGCGGGGGAUCGAAAGACCUCGCGUCUGAAGAGGAGCCUGCGGCGGAUUAGCUAGUUGUAGGUAACGCCUACAAGGCAACGAUCCGUA